CGAACGCUGGCGGCAGGCCUAACACAUGCAAGUCGAACGGAUCCUUCGGGAUUAGUGGCGGACGGGUGAGUAACACGUGGGAACGUGCCCUUUGGUUCGGAACAACUCAGGGAAACUUGAGCUAAUACCGGAUGUGCCCUUCGGGGGAAAGAUUUAUCGCCAUUGGAGCGGCCCGCGUCUGAUUAGCUAGUUGGUGAGGUAAAGGCUCACCAAGGCGACGAUCAGUAGCUGGUCUGAGAGGAUGAUCAGCAACAUUGGGACUGAGACACGGCCCAAACUCCUACGGGAGGCAGCAGUGGGGAAUCUUGCGCAAUGGGCGAAAGCCUGACGCAGCCAUGCCGCGUGAAUGAUGAAGGUCUUAGGAUUGUAAAAUUCUUUCACCGGGGACGAUAAUGACGGUACCCGGAGAAGAAGCCCCGGCUAACUUC
rnacentral:rRNA from 1 species